GUUAGUUAGUGUGUUCUGUCUGUCUCCCCAAGUUAGUUAGUUAGUGUGUUCUGUCUGUCUCUACAGGUUGGUUAGUUAGUUAGUGUGUUCUGUCUGUCUCUACAGGUUGGUUAGUUAGUUAGUGUGUUCUGUCUGUCUCUACAGGUUGGUUAGUUAGUUAGUGUGUUCUGUCUGUCUCUACAGGUUAGUUAGUUAGUGUGUUCUGUCUGUCUCCCCAAGUUAGUUAGUUAGUGUGUUCUGUCUGUCUCCCCAGGUUAGUUAGUUAGUGUGUUCUGUCUGUCUCCCCAAGUUAGUUAGUUAGUGUGUUCUGUCUGUCUCCCCAGGUUAGUUAGUUAGUGUGUUCUGUCUGUCUCCCCAAGUUAGUUAGUUAGUGUGUUCUGUCUGUCUCCCCAAGUUAGUUAGUUAGUGUGUUCUGUCUGUCUCCCCAAGUUAGUUAGUUAGUGUGUUCUGUCUGACUCCCCAAGUUAGUUAGUUAGUGUGUUCUGUCUGUCUCCCCAGGUUAGUUAGUUAGUGUGUUCUGUCUCCCCAGGUUAGUUAGUUAGUGUGUUCUGUCUCCUCAGGAAACUCCUGGAGAAGGAGUUGGAGUCUCCCCAGGUUAGUUAGUUAGUGUGUUCUGUCUCCCCAGGUUAGUUAGUUAGUGUGUUCUGUCUCCCCAGGUUAGUUAGUUAGUUAGUGUGUUCUGUCUCCCCAGGUUAGUUAGUUAGUUAGUGUGUUCUGUCUCCCCAGGUUAGUUAGUUAGUGUGUUCUGUCUGUCUCCCCAGGUUAGUUAGUUAGUUAGUGUGUUCUGUCUGUCUCCCCAGGUUAGUUAGUUAGUGUGUUCUGUCUCCCCAGGUUAGUUAGUUAGUGUGUUCUGUCUCCCCAGGUUAGUUAGUUAGUUAGUGUGUUCUGUCUCCCCAGGUUAGUUAGUUAGUGUGUUCUGUCUCCCCAGGUUAGUUAGUUAGUUAGUGUGUUCUGUCUCCCCAGGUUAGUUAGUUAGUUAGUGUGUUCUGUCUCCCCAGGUUAGUUAGUUAGUUAGUGUGUUCUGUCUCCCCAGGUUAGUUAGUUAGUUAGUGUGUUCUGUCUCCCCAGGUUAGUUAGUUAGUGUGUUCUGUCUCCCCAGGUUAGUUAGUUAGUGUGUUCUGUCUCCCCAGGUUAGUUAGUUAGUUAGUGUGUUCUGUCUGUGUCCCCAGGUUAGUUAGUUAGUGUGUUCUGUCUCCCCAGGUUAGUUAGUUAGUGUGUUCUGUCUCCCCAGGUUAGUUAGUUAGUUAGUGUGUUCUGUCUCCCCAGGUUAGUUAGUUAGUGUGUUCUGUCUCCCCAGGUUAGUUAGUUAGUUAGUGUGUUCUGUCUCCUCAGGUUAGUUAGUUAGUGUGUUCUGUCUCCCCAGGUUAGUUAGUUAGUGUGUUCUGUCUCCUCAGGUUAGUUAGUUAGUUAGUGUGUUCUGUCUCCCCAGGUUAGUUAGUUAGUUAGUGUGUUCUGUCUCCUCAGGAAACUCCUGGAGAAGGAGUUGGAGUCUCCCCAGGUUAGUGUGUUCUGUCUCCCCAGGUUAGUUAGUUAGUGUGUUCUGUCUCCCCAGGUUAGUUAGUUAGUUAGUGUGUUCUGUCUCCCCAGGUUAGUUAGUUAGUGUGUUCUGUCUGUCUCCCCAGGUUAGUUAGUUAGUUAGUGUGUUCUGUCUCCCCAGGUUAGUUAGUUAGUGUGUUCUGUCUCCCCAGGUUAGUUAGUUAGUUAGUGUGUUCUGUCUCCUCAGGUUAGUUAGUUAGUGUGUUCUGUCUCCCCAGGUUAGUUAGUUAGUUAGUGUGUUCUGUCUCCCCAGGUUAGUUAGUUAGUGUGUUCUGUCUCCUCAGGUUAGUUAGUUAGUUAGUGUGUUCUGUCUCCUCAGGUGAGUUAGUUAGUUAGUGUGUUCUGUCUCCUCAGGAAACUCCUGGAGAAGGAGUUGGAGUCUCCCCAGG